GAUGAACGCUGGCGGCGUGCUUAACACAUGCAAGUCGAACGGUGAAGGCGGAGCUUGCUCUGCUGCAUCAGUGGCGAACGGGUGAGUAACACGUGAGCAAUCUGCCCCUGACUCUGGGAUAAGCUCUGGAAACGGCGUCUAAUACUGGAUACGAGCUGCUAAGGCAUCUUCAGCAGCUGGAAAGAAUUUCGGUCAGGGAUGAGCUCGCGGCCUAUCAGCUUGUUGGUGAGGUAGUGGCUCACCAAGGCGUCGACGGGUAGCCGGCCUGAGAGGGUGACCGGCCACACUGGGACUGAGAAACGGCCCAGACUCCUACGGGAGGCAGCAGUGGGGAAUAUUGCACAAUGGGCGAAAGCCUGAUGCAGCAACGCCGCGUGAGGGACGACGGCCUUCGGGUUGUAAACCUCUUUUAGCAGGGAAGAAGCGAAAGUGACGGUAACUGCAGAAAAAGCGCCGGCUAACUACGUG
rnacentral:rRNA from 1 species